CCUACAGGAGGCAGCAGUGAGGAAUAUUGGUCAAUGGACGCAAGUCUGAACCAGCCAUGCCGCGUGCAGGAAGACGGCUCUAUGAGUUGUAAACUGCUUUUGUCAGGGAGCAAAGGGCGCCACGUGUGGCGCUUUGCGAGUACCUGAAGAAAAAGCAUCGGCUAACUCCGUGCCAGCAGCCGCGGUAAUACGGAGGAUGCGAGCGUUAUCCGGAUUUAUUGGGUUUAAAGGGUGCGCAGGCGGAAUGUCAAGUCAGCGGUAAAAUUUCGGGGCUCAACCCCGUCGUGCCGUUGAAACUGGCGUUCUUGAGUGAGCGAGAAGUAUGCGGAAUGCGUGGUGUAGCGGUGAAAUGCAUAGAUAUCACGCAGAACUCCGAUUGCGAAGGCAGCAUACCGGCGCUCAACUGACGCUCAUGCACGAAAGCGUGGGUAUCGAACAGGAUUAGAUACCCGGGUAGUC
rnacentral:rRNA from 1 species